rnacentral:rRNA from 1 species
GACGAACGCUGGCGGCGUGCCUAAUACAUGCAAGUUGAGCGCUGAAGGUUGGUACUUGUACCAACUGGAUGAGCAGCGAACGGGUGAGUAACGCGUGGGGAAUCUGCCUUUGAGCGGGGGACAACAUUUGGAAACGAAUGCUAAUACCGCAUAAAAACUUUAAACACAAGUUUUAAGUUUGAAAGAUGCAAUUGCAUCACUCAAAGAUGAUCCCGCGUUGUAUUAGCUAGUUGGUGAGGUAAAGGCUCACCAAGGCGAUGAUACAUAGCCGACCUGAGAGGGUGAUCGGCCACAUUGGGACUGAGGCACGGCCCAAACUCCUACGGGAGGCAGCAGUAGGGAAUCUUCGGCAAUGGACGAAAGUCUGACCGAGCAACGCCGCGGGAGUGAAGAAGGUUUUCGGAUCGUAAAACUCUGUUGGUAGAGAAGAAAGUUGGUGAGAGUGGAAAGCUCAUCAAGUGACGGUAACUACCCAGAAAGGGACGGCUAACUACGUG